AAUGAACCUGGUAAGCAGGUUAGGAGCGCUGUUGGAAUUAAAAACAUCUGCAAGUCUCAUGUAGCUUUCAAGUUCCAAACAACUGCACCAAAGAGUUGUUAUAUGCGUCCUCCAGGCGGUAUACUUUCUCCUGGUGAAAGUAUAAUUGCAACUGUUUUCAAGUUUGUUGAGCCUCCAGAGAGCAAUGAGAAACCAAUCAAUCACAGGAGCAAGGUUAAGUUCAAAAUCAUGAGCUUAAAGGUCAAAGGGGAAAUGGACUAUGUACCAGAACUGGUAAAUCAUGCAGGCUCUUCAGUUGAAAUUUACUGUUGGUUUUAAUUUACUGUCAACUUGUUAUCUCCGCUUGAUAUGUGAACUCAUGCAGAAUAUCUUGAUCAUUUUUUUUUCCUUGUGUUAACUUUAUAAUAUUUAUCAGUCUAAUUGCUGUAUC